rnacentral:rRNA from 1 species
GUGGUGAACUCCACAUACGCAUCCUUUGCUGAGGAUACGGUUAACGGAGCGAAAGCGACGUUCAACCGCAAAAGAAGCAGAGGGGGCUUAGUGGUGGGGUGACUGCGUACCUUUUGUAUAAUGGGUCAGCGACUUAUAUUCUGUAGCAAGGUUAACCGUAUAGGGGAGCCGGAGGGAAACCGAGUCUUAACCGGGCGUUAAGUUGCAGGGUAUAGACCCGAAACCCGGUGAUCUAGCCAUGGGCAGGUUGAAGGUUGGGUAACACUAACUGGAGGACCGAACCGACUAAUGUUGAAAAAUUAGCGGAUGACCUGUGGCUGGGGGUGAAAGGCCAAUCAAACCGGGAGAUAGCUGGUUCUCCCCGAAAGCUAUUUAGGUAGCGCCUCGUGAAUUCAUCUCCGGGGGUAGAGCACUGUUUCGGCUAGGGGGCCAUCCCGGCUUACCAACCCGAUGCAAACUGCGAAUACCGGAGAAUGUUAUCACGGGAGACACACGGCGGGUGCUAACGUCCGUCGUGAAGAGGGAAACAACCCAGACCGCCAGCUAAGGUCCCAAAGUCAUGGUUAAGUGGGAAACGAUGUGGGAAGGCCCAGACAGCCAGGAUGUUGGCUUAGAAGCAGCCAUCAUUUAAAGAAAGCGUAAUAGCUCACUGGUCGAGUCGGCCUGCGCGGAAGAUGUAACGGGGCUAAACCAUGCACCGAAGCUGCGGCAGCGAACGUAUCACUUAAAGCGAUUCAGCGGGUUACGAUUGACGGAGCGAAGCGACGUCAAAGCGUAUACAAAGUCGAGUCGGUUUAAGGAUACGUUCGUUGGGUAGGGGAGCGUUCUGUAAGCCCGUGAAGGUGGCCUGUGAGGGUUGCUGGAGGUAUCAGAAGUGCGAAUGCUGACAUAAGUAACGAUAAAGCGGGUGAAAAGCCCGCUCGCCGGAAGACCAAGGGUUCCUGUCCAACGUUAAUC